rnacentral:lncRNA from 1 species
CCCCCCCUUUCCCUGUACGACUGACUAGGUAUCCCCCCCUUUCCCUGUACAACUGACUAGGUAUCCCCCCUUUCCCUGUACAACUGACUAGGUAUCCCCCUUUCCCACUGACUAGGUAUCCCCCCUUUCCCUGUACGACUGACUAGGUAUCCCCCUUUCCCACUGACUAGGUAUCCCCCCCUUUCCCUGUACGACUGACUAGGUAUCCCCCUUUCCCUGUACAACUGACUAGGUAUCCCCCCCUUUCCCUGUACAACUGACUAGGUAUCCCCCUUUCCCUAUACAACUGACUUGGUAUCCCCCCUUUCCCUGUACAACUGACUAGGUAUCCCCCCUUUCCCUGUACAACUGACUAGGUAUCCCCCUUUCCCACUGACUAGGUAUCCCCCCUUUCCCUGUACAACUGACUAGGUAUCCCCCCUUUCCCUGUACAACUGACUAGGUACCUCCCCCCCUUUCCCUGUACAACUGACUAGGUACCUCACCCCCUUUCCCUGUACAACUGACUAGGUAUCUCCCCCCCUUUCCCUGUACAACUGACUAGGUAUCUUCCCCCCCCUUUCCCUGUACAACUGACUAGGUACCUCCCCCCUUUCCCUGUACAACUGACUAGGUAUCUCCCCCGCUUUCCCUGUACAACUGACUAGGUAUGUCCCCCCCUUUCCCUGUACAACUGACUAGGUAUCUCCCCC